GACGAACGCUGGCGGCGUGCUUAACACAUGCAAGUCGAGCGGUAAGGCCCUUUCGGGGGUACACGAGCGGCGAACGGGUGAGUAACACGUGGGUGACCUGCCCUUAGCUCUGGGAUGAGCCUGGGAAACUGGGUCUAAUACCGGAUAUGACUCCAUGACGCAUGUUGUGGGGUGGAAAGCCUUGUGCGGCUAGGGAUGGGCCUGCGGCCUAUCAGCUUGUUGGUGGGGUGANGGCCUACCAAGGCGACGACGGGUAGCCGGCCUGAGAGGGCGACCGGCCACACUGGGACUGAGACACGGCCCAGACUCCUACGGGAGGCAGCAGUGGGGAAUCUUGCGCAAUGGGCGAAAGCCUGACGCAGCGACGCCGCGUGGGGA
rnacentral:rRNA from 1 species